CAUGUGUCAAUACAACUACCUAAUAAUUAAAUAAUUUAAUUGUAAUCGUUUUCAAAAGUUUGAAUAGUACGUUUGAAUUCGCGCCGCGCGAUACGUGCACUAUAUAUGUGAUUUUCCGUUGUCUCUGUCAUUGUACUAUAGUUAAUUAAGCGGGAAACGCAACAAAGUAUAUUACUUUUUGCUUUGAUGAUUUCCCUCGUUAACAGCAAAAAACUUCGUUCGCUGAAUAAUCGUUGAAUAUCAACAAUUGUUUCUGCAAACUUGGAUAAUCACUUGUGUUAUUGCUUAAUCAACUCAAUUAGACCCGGAUAGUCGAAGAAUCUUGCCGCAUUUCCUAAGGAAGCUGUUGAUCGUCGACCCUCGCUUGCGUCCAUCUCCAGCUAGAGAGGGGCUGCUCAACAGGUCCUGGAAGCCUCGUCUUCUUCGACUGCACCUGGACAUUGAGUUUGUCAGGCAGCUUACACUACAUAUAUUUUCUGUUUCAUACACUCCAUCCUGCAACUUGAUUACUUUUCUUUCAUUAUUUCUCAUUACAACAAUAGUUCAUAUAGACUUUACUCAUUCUUUCUUAUACUUUCUAUUUUCGAGCCUAAUAUUGUCAACCACACCAUCGUCUGGACCAUCUACCACACCACAGCACCUGCGGUUCCUAGAAUAUUAUAUAAAGUUAGCUGAAAAAAAACCACAGACAACAACAGCCACUCAGCGGAAGAUAAGAAUUGCAGCUUGCUUCUGAGGUACUUCGACAGGUUCAGCUCACCGUACUCACCAAUAUAGUUGGAAUAGCAAAAACACCAUCAGAAGCGCAGCCAGGAAUAUGCGUCAAAAUUAGGAUUAUCUUUAUAGAUAAGUAUAUUAUCUAGCGUUUAUAAUUUAUUCAAUUACAAAUUUAAAUCUGUUUUAUAUUUAUUUGCAGCGGCAGCAGCAAAGUCAACAAUAAUAACAAGGAAGUGUGCCGAUUGUUCUCCUCGCCUCCAGGAGUCGUCCAAUUUUCAACUGCUUUAUUAUUAUUUAAUAUUGUUCGUUUAUUAAUAUUAUUAUUAUUCUUGUUAUCAUUAUAUUAGAUUGAUCAAAGCUCAAAAA
rnacentral:lncRNA from 1 species